GGUCACGUACUGGUCCCAGUAAGGCUUUGGUGAGCGUCCCAGUAUGGUCCCAGUUGGGGUCAGGUACUGGUCCCAGUUAGGCCCUGAUAGGGGGCAGAUGCUGGUCCCAGUAGGGAUCACAUACUUGUCCCAGUAGGGUCUCAGUGAGGGUCACGUACUCGUCCCAGUGAGGGUCAUGUACUGGUCCCAGUGAGGCUUCGACAUCAACGAGCUGAACUUGCCCAAGACGUGUGAGAUCGACUUCUCGGACCAGGACGAUCUCCUGCACUUCCGGCUGCUCAUCUGCCCCGACGAGGUGGGACCUGAUUGUCACCUGUGUCACCUGUGUCACCUGUCACCUGUGUCACCUGUGUGUCACCUGUGUCACCUGUGUGUCACCUGUGUCACCUGUGUGUCACCUGUGUCACCUGUGUGUCACCUGUGUCACCUGUCUGUCACCUGUGUCACCUGUGUCACCUGUCUGUCACCUGUGUGUCAUCUGUGUCACCUGUGUCACCUGUGUCACCUGUGUCACCUGUGUGUCACCUGUCUGUCACCUGUGUGUCACCUUGUGUCACCUGAUUGUCACCUGUGUCACCUGUCUGUCACCUGUGUCACCUGUGUGUCACCUGUGUGUCACCUGUGUCACCUGUCUGUCACCUGUGUGUCACCUGUGUCACACCUGUGUCACCUGUCUGUCACCUGUGUGUCACCUGUGUGUCACCUGUCUGUCACCUGUGUGUCACCUGUCACCUGUGUCACACCUGUGUGUCACCUGUGUGUCACCUGUGUGUCACCUGUGUCACACCUGUGUGUCACCUGUGUCACACCUGGACACACUGACCAUAGAGAUCCACCACGGCGUACACCUCUGCGACAGCGGGGACACCUGUGUCACUGUCACCUGUGUGUCACCUGUGUCACCUGUGUGUCACCUGUGUGUCACCUGUGUCACCUGUGUCACACCUGUGUCACACCUGUGUCACACCUGGACACACUGACCAUAGAGAUCCACCACAGCGUACACCUCUGCGACAGCGGGGACACCUGUGUCACUGUCACCUGUGUCACCUGUGUCUCCUGUGUCACACCUGUGUGUCACCUGUGUGUCACCUGUCUGUCACCUGUGUCACACCUGUGUCACACCUGUGUCACACCUGGACACACUGACCAUAGAGAUCCACCACAGCGUACACCUCUGCGACAGCGGGGACACCUGUGUCACUGUCACCUGUGUGUCACCUGUGUCACCUGUGUCACACCUGUGUGUCACCUGUGUCACCUGUGUCACCUGUGUGUCACCUGUGUCACCUGUGUGUCACCUGUGUCACCUGUGUGUCACCUGUGUGUCACCUGUGUCACCUGUCUGUCACCUGUGUCACCUGUGUCACCU
ensembl:lncRNA